rnacentral:rRNA from 1 species
UACGGGGGGAGCAAGCGUUGUUCGGAUUUACUGGGCGUAAAGGGCGCGUAGGCGGCCACGACAAGUCACUUGUGAAAUCUCCGGGCUUAACUCGGAACGGUCAAGUGAUACUGUCGGGCUAGAGUGCAGAAGGGGCAACUGGAAUUCUCGGUGUAGCGGUGAAAUGCGUAGAUAUCGAGAGGAACACCUGCGGCGAAGGCGGGUUGCUGGGCUGAUACUGACGCUGAGGCGCGAAAGCCAGGGGAGCGAACAGG